rnacentral:lncRNA from 1 species
ACACACAGCUAGCUCUUCAGGCCAGGCCCCCAGGGUUUCGUCCACCUCUCACCUUUGACGACGCGAAUGAAGAAUGAGGAGGUGCUGCGAUCGAACGACUGCGAGGAAACACACCCGCUCUCAUGGCAUUCCCAGUAAACUGAGAAGACGUGAUUAAACCUCAGGAUCUCCUACUAAUAGAGAAAUGUAUAACGAUUUAGCUACCAGAUCUGAAUACUGAAGGGUUGGUAGGGGACCAGAGAAUAGAGGAAGCAUUGUAGGUUCUAGAGUGGAGAAGGGACCAUCCAAAAUGGAGUUUGAAAGAGAAUUCUGGCCUUUGUGUUUAGAGUCUGGAAUUGUCAAGAGUCUGAAAGCACAGAAUAAGACUGCAGCUAGAGCAAUUUAGGCGCCAUAGUUUGUCAAAACAGGUAAGGGGAAUAAAGGGGAUGACACCAAGAGAUGUGCAAAGAAUCUGAAGAAUUCACCUGAAAAGGAUACAACCUCCUCCUGGAAGGCAGAGGAGUAAAUAGGGAAUUGGAAAUUAAUUCCUUAUUUCUGCACAUGCACAGAAUCUGGGCCCAGGUGACUUAUGGAACCUUUAUAGAGACCACGGUGACUGACACUCAUGGGAAAGGGGGUAGAGGGGCAAGAACUGACUGUUCAUCAAAAAUUAUUAGAUGAGUGUGUCCACGACACCAGGAGAUAUGUUGAAUCAUGGACAGGGACCAGCAUAUCCACUAAGCUCUAUAUAUCUUGAUGGUGCAGGAUCCAAGUGGGAUGGAACAACCAAUUCCUGCCCAUCCUCCUGCUCAAUAAUACAUGUGCUCAGAAUCUGUUCAUAAUGCAUGGUGAUGGAGUCUCACUCUAUUGCCAAGCUGGAGUGC